GGGAUAAUCCACUUAACGGUAUAUUCCAGUGGGAGGAUCCCUCUCGUACAGCAGUGCCUGAUGGGAGAAAUGUCCUGUACAGUAAGUUCCCCAUGUAGUCCCCUCUGGGAAUGCCCCUGGGAGGGGACUCAGGAAACCCCUUGCAUGGGGACUUGUAUAAAUUGUGGAGCUGAAAAUAAAGAUCUCAGAACUGUGUUUCGUCCGGUUACUGGGAGGUUUGGGAUAUUGCCUUGCUUUUUCCAGCGCUUGACUGUGGAUUACUUCCCGAACCAGCGGAAUUUGUGGAUUUAAUAUUGGCGUUCCGCUACAGCCCCUUCCCCCUACUGCAGGGCAAGUACAGCCCGCUCCCACUUAUCAUCC